UAUCAGGAGACAAAAGUAUUUGGAUAAUAAUAAUCUGGAGUCAGUGUUGAUCACGUGAUUAGAGAUAGUGUGAAUCUGAAGAAAGAAAAGCAAGCCACAAAUGUGAAGUUAAUGAAUAUGAGAGCAGCGUGCAUGAGUGAAUUCAACAGAAGAAGUAUGAAGCAUUAGCCUAGUUAUAUUUCCUCUCCUUAUGGUGGGGCUAGAACAGCAUUAAUUCCUGCCAAAACUGGUGUAUGUGUUGGUGUGUGUGUGUGUCCAUUCUUGGAAUGUGUUCUGAUCUGAUGUAAAUUAUUCUAUUUUGAGAUCCCUGCCACAUCAUUAAGCUGACAAUAGGAGAUAGUCAACGCAGGUAGAAUCAACAACAUGGACUGUGUGAAUUUUCACCAUGUGAAUUGUUGGGUAGAAGUAGUCCAAGACUUCUCCAUCAUGAAAACUAUUGGAAAAAUGAGAGAAGAUUUAAGGAAAGCAUUUAUCUUCCUCGGCCAAAUUUGCAAUGACCAAAUAUGGUCAGGCUUAUAUCGUGGUCUAAUUCAGAAAAAGUUCAUGUUGUAGGAAGGUAAUAUACAGUAGUCAUGAAGGGAGACAUUUCAAAUGAUAAAAAUAUUAGGGAGCCAUGAAAAUUAGAAAGGGAAGAGUUCCAUGAAUUAUAAUUAUAGUGGUGGGUGUAAAUUUUGUAGUUGUUUAACCCAAAGUCAACUCUGGUUAAGCAGACCUUUGAUCAAAGGAACUCCAGCUGUGAUCAUCCCAUCUUUGAAGAGGUAUCUAGUAUCACAUUAUCUAACAUGUCAUUUGCAUUUUUAAGACAGUAGGGUGUGAUUUGAGGGAGAUUUAGCUGCUAUUUCCAGCAACAUAAAGAGGCUCAAGUUAGUGGAGGUGGGACUUUUAUGUCAUGAGUUUGUGGCGAGAUCCUAGCAGAAUGAUAGCAGAGAGGUAAUGGGAAAAGUAAGGGUUAGUGUAAACUGAAUACAGAGGAAAAGCUAGCUUCAGUUGAAGUGAGAUAUAUGUAGCAUGUAACUUUAGUUGGCUUCAUGAAUGAUAGUGAGGAGGUGACACAGAAUCAGAGAGACAGAGAGAGAAGCUAUAUUUUUGUCAUGGGUAUAAAUCAUUGUAAUUUCCAGUAGGUAGCUGGCAAAAGGACUGCUUCACUUCUAAGUUGUGAGUAGUUCAGUUACUUUCAGUUAAAUAAUGUUUGAAAUAUAUGUGCUUUCAAUAUAUAUAUAUAUAGAACUAGCUGAUUGAUAUUGCAGUGAACAGACAAGAAUAAACUGAUAUUGCAAUGAAAAGACAGGGAAAAGACUGAUAUUGCAGUGAACAAACAAUAAUAACUGAUCAACAUUGCAGUCAACAGAUACAGAACAAUUGACAGUUACAACUUUUGGACUGUUUUAGCACUACAUGUUUGGAAGAUGAGAAUUUGUUUUAUUUUAAUAUGAGAUUGUCAUAAUGUUGGAAAAUAUGAAAAUUUGAAGAAAAACAGCUGCAAGUUAAUCAUGUAUUUUUCAUACGUGUACAAAUUUUCCUUUUGAGGCACCAAAGGCAUGCAAGCUUCACAGGGACAUGAGAAAGAAUGGAGACAGUGACAUGGUGAAUGAAGUGAAACAGUUAGUUGACUACAGGCAGAUAUCUGUAAGUACUAUAAGUGAAGCCAGACACACAUCAUGCAGAUUAACAAUUUACAGGAAAUGAAUCUCAAUAGAACAGAUAUGAAUCUAGAAAAAUAGUCAAUGAAUUGACAGACACAGAAACCCUAAAUUAUAUGGAGAGAAUCAAAAUAAAUAAUACAAAUAGACAGUUUGGCAUGUUGUUGAAAAAUUCCCAAACUG